rnacentral:rRNA from 1 species
AUUGAACGCUGGCGGCAUGCCUUACACAUGCAAGUCGAACGGCAGCACGGAGCUUGCUCUGGUGGCGAGUGGCGAACGGGUGAGUAAUAUAUCGGAACGUACCCUAGAGUGGGGGAUAACGUAGCGAAAGUUACGCUAAUACCGCAUACGAUCUAAGGAUGAAAGUGGGGGAUCGCAAGACCUCAUGCUCGUGGAGCGGCCGAUAUCUGAUUAGCUAGUUGGUAGGGUAAAAGCCUACCAAGGCAUCGAUCAGUAGCUGGUCUGAGAGGACGACCAGCCACACUGGAACUGAGACACGGUCCAGACUCCUACGGGAGGCAGCAGUGGGGAAUUUUGGACAAUGGGCGAAAGCCUGAUCCAGCAAUGCCGCGUGAGUGAAGAAGGCCUUCGGGUUGUAAAGCUCUUUUGUCAGGGAAGAAACGGUGAGAGCUAAUAUCUCUUGCUAAUGACGGUACCUGAAGAAUAAGCACCGGCUAACUACGUGCCAGCAGCCGCGGUAAUACGUAGGGUGCAAGCGUUAAUCGGAAUUACUGGGCGUAAAGCGUGCGCAGGCGGUUUUGUAAGUCUGAUGUGAAAUCCCCGGGCUCAACCUGGGGAUUGCAUUGGAGACUGCAAGGCUAGAAUCUGGCAGAGGGGGGUAGAAUUCCACGUGUAGCAGUGAAAUGCGUAGAUAUGUGGAGGAACACCGAUGGCGAAGGCAGCCCCCUGGGUCAAGAUUGACGCUCAUGCACGAAAGCGUGGGGAGCAAACAGGAUUAGAUACCCUGGUAGUCCACGCCCUAAACGAUGUCUACUAGUUGUCGGGUCUUAAUUGACUUGGUAACGCAGCUAACGCGUGAAGUAGACCGCCUGGGGAGUACGGUCGCAAGAUUAAAACUCAAAGGAAUUGACGGGGACCCGCACAAGCGGUGGAUGAUGUGGAUUAAUUCGAUGCAACGCGAAAAACCUUACCUACCCUUGACAUGGCUGGAAUCCCCGAGAGAUUGGGGAGUGCUCGAAAGAGAACCAGUACACAGGUGCUGCAUGGCUGUCGUCAGCUCGUGUCGUGAGAUGUUGGGUUAAGUCCCGCAACGAGCGCAACCCUUGUCAUUAGUUGCUAUGAAAGGGCACUCUAAUGAGACUGCCGGUGACAAACCGGAGGAAGGUGGGGAUGACGUCAAGUCCUCAUGGCCCUUAUGGGUAGGGCUUCACACGUCAUACAAUGGUACAUACAGAGCGCCGCCAACCCGCGAGGGGGAGCUAAUCGCAGAAAGUGUAUCGUAGUCCGGAUUGUAGUCUGCAACUCGACUGCAUGAAGUUGGAAUCGCUAGUAAUCGCGGAUCAGCAUGUCGCGGUGAAUACGUUCCCGGGUCU